rnacentral:tRNA from 1 species
ACCCAGCUGGCUCAGCUGUUAGAGCAUGGGACUCUUGGUCUCCAGGCAGGGAGUUCAAGCCCCGUGCUGGGUG